UAUUGUGCUCAAUACAAUACAAAAAAAGUUGUAGGAUCAUAAAGAUCACAAAAAGGGAACAUGGAGAACAUAAAAAUGCAGCAAUUAAAGCACUUAAUGUCCAAUUCUCACAUAUCCAAAAGCAUAUUUUGGGGUUGUUGACACUCCUUGAUGCUAGCAACAACAUGGAUAAUUUGUACCGGCACUUGUCAUUCCUUGCAGAUGAAGACGUCGACAAACUUGGACCACCCCAACGCCGAUGAGCUCCAGAUCUGCAAUUAUAUCAGGUUACAAUUUGGAGGUGGACGGUGAAUGUUUACGAGAGAG
rnacentral:lncRNA from 1 species